CUUUGUGCGUGAGUGUCAUGUUCAGGAAAGAUACAAAUUUGUUUUUCUUCUGUGUGUGUAAAUUCAAUGUUUCCUGUGUCUUCCAUUUGGUCCAGAUGUUCGGUGAGUGUGGAUGUCUGUCCUUUUCUAAUUAUCUCCAGUAUGCUGUCUACAUACCUUGUCCAGAAACCGUUGUUGCAUUGUGUAGGUGCUGUUUUUAAUGGCUCUGGCCAGUCUUGGGUCAGAGAUGUUUCACGUUUUUACAGUGUUAGGUCUGCGAGUCCCAAGAGAGUUUUCAUUAUUUCUACCAGAUCUUUGGAUAGAUUGACCAAUCCCAUGCUGUAAACAAUUGGGGCAUACUGGUGCGCCUAAUUUAUGGAUUUUGGGGGUGCUAUAUAUGGGGUGUGAUACUUGCAGUGGGAUCCAAAUGAUUGUGUCAUUAUCAAUUUUGUUUGUUUCUAGUAACAGUUUGAGUAGAGUCUUUAACGUCCUCUUUUUAUCCACUGUUGGAUUCUUUUUUUCAGAAUUUUGUUGUGGUUGUUUCUUGCAGUAAAUCUUCCAUUUGUGUUUCAUAGUCCUGUAUGUUCAUUAUGUCAGUGGUUCUGCUUUUGUCUUCUGAGAAAAUCUGGGACAGCAGGGGGCAUGGUUGUCCCCUGCUGUCUGGCAACCCCACCAAAAACAGCUGAUUUAACAGCUGAUAAGACACGUCACAGUAACAUCACAUGACCCUUCUGAAAAAGACAACAGAUGUAGUUGGAGCAUAUCAAGACUUGGCUGGCCUGAACUGUUGCUGUCCUUGGAAUCAUCCUGGAACCCGCUCUCCUCCUUGGACAGGGGAAAGUUGCUGCUUUUGCAAAAGGCCACUGGAUGAGGUUUUUUAUCUGUGGCAAAGACAGUUAGUGCAAAUUAUGUUGUCAGUAGAGGAACUAUAUUUUCAUCCAGUUUCCACCAAAUUCACAUUACUGCCCUUUACAGUCUUGGCAUCAUGGAGUUCACUUUGUAAUCAGGUACACUUUUGUAUUGUUUUUUUUAUGCCAAGUGACAGGAAACACGUUUAGAAAUAGCUGGGUGAGUGCUCUUUACCAACUACUUCAUGUAAAAAAAAUUAUUUAGUUUUGUUCGUGUUGCUUUGUUGCUGUUACAAAUUAUUGGAUAAUUGAGUGAAAUCAUGCCUACGUGUUUUUGUAAAUUAAAUUCACAUGCUCUGCUGAGUUCAGUUGACUUUGUAAUAUGGUUUUCCAUUAAAGAUUGCUUACUUGC